rnacentral:rRNA from 1 species
CCUACGGGUGGCAGCAGUGAGGAAUAUUGGUCAAUGGUCGUAAGCCUGAACCAGCCAAGUAGCGUGCAGGAUGAAGGCCCUGUGGGUUGUAAACUUCUUUUAUCCGGGGGCAGAAGUCGUCACGUGUGAUGGUUGGUAGGUUCCGCAUGAAUAAAGCCCGGCUAAUUCCGUGCCCGCCGCCGCGGUAAUACGGAAGGUGCCGGCGUUAUCCGGGUUUUUUGGGUUUAAAGGGAGCGUAGGCCGCAUGUUAAGCGUGCCGUGAAAUGCCGUGGCUAAACCCUGGCACUGCGGCGCGAACUGGCGUGCUUGAGUGCGCGGAACGUAUGCGGAAUUCGUGGUGUAGCGGUGAAAUGCUUAGAUAUGACGAAGAACCCCGAUUGCGAAGGCAGCAUACGGCAGCGGUACUGACGCUGAAGCUCGAAAGCGCGGGUAUCGAACAGGAUUAGAUACCCGAGUAGUC